GAUGAACGCUGGCGGUAUGCUUAACACAUGCAAGUCGAACGGACUCUUCGGAGUUAGUGGCGGACGGGUGAGUAACGCGUGAGAAUCUGGCUUUGGGUUCGGGACAACCACUGGAAACGGUGGCUAAUACCGGAUGUGCCGAGAGGUAAAAGAGAAAUUGCCUGAAGAUGAGCUCGCGUCUGAUUAGCUAGUUGGUGAGGUAAAGGCUCACCAAGGCAGCGAUCAGUAGCUGGUCUGAGAGGAUGACCAGCCACACUGGGACUGAGACACGGCCCAGACUCCUACGGGAGGCAGCAGUGGGGAAUUUUCCGCAAUGGGCGAAAGCCUGACGGAGCAAUACCGCGUGAGGGAAGAGGGCUCUUGGGUUGUAAACCUCUUUUCUUAGGGAAGAACAAAAUGACGGUACCUAAGGAAUCAGCAUCGGCUAACUCCGUG
rnacentral:rRNA from 1 species